rnacentral:rRNA from 1 species
AUGACUGUCUCAAAGAGGGACUCGGCGAAACUACAUUGCCGGUGAAGAUGCCGGCUAUCCGCAGCAAGACAAAAAGACCCCGUGGAGCUUUACUACAACUUGACGCUGGGUUAGGAGCUGGUUUGUGUAGGAUAGGUGGGAGACUGUGAAGCCCCGACGCUAGUCGGGGUGGAGUCAACGGUGAAAUACCACCCUGACUAUUUCUUAAUCCUAACCUCUAGCCAUUAUCUGGCAGGGGGACAGCGUUUGGUGGGUAGUUUAACUGGGGCGGUUGCCUCCCAAAAAGUAACGGAGGCGUUCAAAGGUUCCCUAGUCCCGGAUGGAAAUCGGGACGAUAGCGCAAUAGUAUAUGGGAGCUUAACUGCGAGACCUACAAGUCAAGCAGAUGCGAAAGCAGGAUAUAGUGAUCCGACGGUUGCACAUGGGUGCGCCGAAGCUCAACGAAUAAAAGUUACCCCGGGGAUAACAGGCUGAUCGCUUCCAAGAGUCCAUAUCGACGAAGCGGUUUGGCACCUCGAUGUCGGCUCGUCACAUCCUGGAGCUGGAGCAGGUUCCAAGGGUUCGGCUGUUCGCCGAUUAAAGUGGCACGCGAGCUGGGUUCAGAACGUUUCGGUCUCUAUCUGCUGUGGACGAAGGAAAUUUGAGGGAAGUCGCUUCUAGUACGAGAGGACCGAAGCGAACGCACCUCUGGUGUACCGGCUGUUCUACCAAGAGCAUUGUCGGGUAGCUACGUGCGGAUGGGAUAAGCGCUGAAAGCAUCUAAGCGCGAAGCCCACCCCAAGAUAGAUUUCCAUCCCCCGCAAGGGGGGAGAAACUCCAAGGAGACCACUUGGUUGAUAGGCGACAGGUGUAAGCCCAGUAAUGGGUUCAGCCGAGUCGUACUAAUAA